rnacentral:lncRNA from 1 species
AAUCUCUCUUGCAGUGGAUGGAUUUGAAAGGCUAUGUUUGUAUUGUACCGCUCCAAGGGGCAGGAGCGCCUUUUGCUGCUCUUACUUUGAUGCCACUACUCAGCGUGUUCCUGCCCUUUUUGUUAGCCUCUAGCAAAAAGCUGGCCACCCAAAAGAAGUUGAUGGCGAGUAGGAGUGCCCGUGGAGGACUUGAUAGGUUCGUUAUCUUAAAAUUGAUUGUGUAAUAACU